rnacentral:rRNA from 1 species
UACGGAGGGUGCAAGCGUUAAUCGGAAUUACUGGGCGUAAAGCGCACGUAGGUGGUUUGCUAAGUCAGCUGUGAAAUCCCCGGGCUUAACCUGGGCACUGCAGUUGAAACUGGCAAGCUAGAGUAGGGUAGAGGGGUGUGGAAUUCCAGGUGUAGCGGUGAAAUGCGUAGAUAUCUGGAGGAACAUCAGUGGCGAAGGCGACACCCUGGACUCAUACUGACACUGAGGUGCGAAAGCGUGGGGAGCAAACAGG